rnacentral:lncRNA from 1 species
CCCCAACUCGAAAAAUUAUAUUAAUUCCUUAGUGGGUACUAGAAUCCACACAGAUUGCAUUCGGAUCCGAGUGUGGCUCGUCCAACCCUAGUACAUCCAUGGGUAGGUUCAUAAUCAAUUAUUUCUCCAAACAACUUCUAGCAAUUAAGUUUUGUCCCAAGCAUCCCUUCAGCAGGCGUGUGGCGUCUCCACUGAAAAUCUUGAUUAGGUCCAACCAUUAAUAUGACAAUACCAAGUGC